UAACGAUACGGGACUCAUCCGAGGCCCCGUAAUCGGAAUGAGUACACUUUAAAUCCUUUAACGAGGACCCAUUGGAGGGCAAGUCUGGUGCCAGCAGCCGCGGUAAUUCCAGCUCCAAUAGCGUAUAUUAAAGUUGUUGCGGUUAAAAAGCUCGUAGUUGAAUCUGUGUGCCACGCUGUCGGUUCAUCGCUCGCGAUGUUUAACUGACAUGAUUGUGGGACGUCCUACCGGUGGGCUUAGCUCCUCACGGGGCGGUCCAGCUAAUAUCCCAUCGCGGUGCUCUUGAUCGAGUGUCGAGGUGGGCCGGUACGUUUACUUUGAACAAAUUAGAGUGCUCAAAGCAGGCUAUGUUUGCCUGAAUACUGCGUGCAUGGAAUAAUGGAAUAGGACCUCGGUUCUAUUUUGUUGGUUUUCGGAACCCCGAGGUAAUGAUUAAUAGGGACAGAUGGGGGCAUUCGUAUUGCGACGUUAGAGGUGAAAUUCUUGGAUCGUCGCAAGACGGACAGAAGCGAAAGCAUUUGCCAAAAAUGUUUUCAUUAAUCAAGAACGAAAGUUAGAGGUUCGAAGGCGAUCAGAUACCGCCCUAGUUCUAACCAUAAACGAUGCCAGCUAGCGAUCCGCCGAAGUUCCUCCGAUGACUCGGCGGGCAGCUUCCGGGAAACCAAAGCUUUUGGGUUCCGGGGGAAGUAUGGUUGCAAAGCUGAAACUUAAAGGAAUUGACGGAAGGGCACCACCAGGAGUGGAGCCUGCGGCUUAAUUUGACUCAACAC
rnacentral:rRNA from 1 species